GAUGAACGCUAGCUACAGGCUUAACACAUGCAAGUCGAGGGGCAGCAUUUUAGUUUGCUUGCAAACUGAAGAUGGCGACCGGCGCACGGGUGAGUAACACGUAUCCAACCUGCCGAUAACUCCGGAAUAGCCUUUCGAAAGAAAGAUUAAUACCGGAUAGCAUACGAAUAUCGCAUGAUAUUUUUAUUAAAGAAUUUCGGUUAUCGAUGGGGAUGCGUUCCAUUAGUUUGUUGGCGGGGUAACGGCCCACCAAGACUACGAUGGAUAGGGGUUCUGAGAGGAAGGUCCCCCACAUUGGAACUGAGACACGGUCCAAACUCCUACGGGAGGCAGCAGUGAGGAAUAUUGGUCAAUGGGCGAGAGCCUGAACCAGCCAAGUAGCGUGAAGGAUGAAGGCUCUAUGGGUCGUAAACUUCUUUUAUAUGGGAAUAAAGUUUUCCACGUGUGGAAUUUUGUAUGUACCAUAUGAAUAAGGAUCGGCUAACUCCGUGCCAGCAGCCGCGGUAAUACGGAGGAUCCGAGCGUUAUCCGGAUUUAUUGGGUUUAAAGGGAGCGUAGGUGGAUUGUUAAGUCAGUUGUGAAAGUUUGCGGCUCAACCGUAAAAUUGCAGUUGAAACUGGCAGUCUUGAGUACAGUAGAGGUGGGCGGAAUUCGUGGUGUAGCGGUGAAAUGCUUAGAUAUCACGAAGAACUCCGAUUGCGAAGGCAGCUCACUAGACUGUCACUGACACUGAUGCUCGAAAGUGUGGGUAUCAAACAGGAUUAGAUACCCUGGUAGUCCACACAGUAAACGAUGAAUACUCGCUGUUUGCGAUAUACAGUAAGCGGCCAAGCGAAAGCAUUAAGUAUUCCACCUGGGGAGUACGCCGGCAACGGUGAAACUCAAAGGAAUUGACGGGGGCCCGCACAAGCGGAGGAACAUGUGGUUUAAUUCGAUGAUACGCGAGGAACCUUACCCGGGCUUAAAUUGCAACAGAAUAUAUUGGAAACAGUAUAGCCGUAAGGCUGUUGUGAAGGUGCUGCAUGGUUGUCGUCAGCUCGUGCCGUGAGGUGUCGGCUUAAGUGCCAUAACGAGCGCAACCCUUAUCUUUAGUUACUAACAGGUUAUGCUGAGGACUCUAGAGAGACUGCCGUCGUAAGAUGUGAGGAAGGUGGGGAUGACGUCAAAUCAGCACGGCCCUUACGUCCGGGGCUACACACGUGUUACAAUGGGGGGUACAGAAGGCGGCUACCUGGUGACAGGAUGCUAAUCCCAAAAACCUCUCUCAGUUCGGAUCGAAGUCUGCAACCCGACUUCGUGAAGCUGGAUUCGCUAGUAAUCGCGCAUCAGCCAUGGCGCGGUGAAUACGUUCCCGGGCCUUGUACACACCGCCCGUCAAGCCAUGAAAGCCGGGGGUACCUGAAGUACGUAACCGCAAGGAGCGUCCUAGGGUAAAACUGGUAAUUGGGGC
rnacentral:rRNA from 1 species